GGGCCAAUAGUAUAUCGGUAGUACGCAGCAUUCGCAUUGCUGAGGGCCGGGUUCAAUUCCCGGUUGGUCCA
rnacentral:tRNA from 1 species